rnacentral:tRNA from 2 species
GGGGAUAUAGCUCAGUUGGGAGAGCGCUUGCAUGGCAUGCAAGAGGUCGUCGGUUCGAUCCCGUCUAUCUCCA